GGGCUAGCGUUGUUCGGAAUUACUGGGCGUAAAGCGCACGUAGGCGGAUAUUUAAGUCAGGGGUGAAAUCCCGGGGCUCAACCCCGGAACUGCCUUUGAUACUGGGUAUCUGGAGUCCGAGAGAGGUGAGUGGAAUUCCGAGUGUAGAGGUGAAAUUCGUAGAUAUUCGGAGGAACACCAGUGGCGAAGGCGGCUCACUGGCUCGGUACUGACGCUGAGGUGCGAAAGCGUGGGGAGCAAACAGG
rnacentral:rRNA from 1 species